GACGAACGCUGGCGGCGUGCUUAACACAUGCAAGUCGAACGGAAAGGCCCUGCUUUUGUGGGGUGCUCGAGUGGCGAACGGGUGAGUAACACGUGAGUAACCUGCCCUUGACUUUGGGAUAACUUCAGGAAACUGGGGCUAAUACCGGAUAGGAGCUCCUGCUGCAUGGUGGGGGUUGGAAAGUUUCGGCGGUUGGGGAUGGACUCGCGGCUUAUCAGCUUGUUGGUGGGGUAGUGGCUUACCAAGGCUUUGACGGGUAGCCGGCCUGAGAGGGUGACCGGCCACAUUGGGACUGAGAUACGGCCCAGACUCCUACGGGAGGCAGCAGGGGGGAAUAUUGCACAAUGGGCGGAAGCCUGAUGCAGCAACGCCGCGUGCGGGAUGACGGCCUUCGGGUUGUAAACCGCUUUCGCCUGUGACGAAGCGUGAGUGACGGUAAUGGGUAAAGAAGCACCGGCUAACUACGUGCCAGCAGCCGCGGUGAUACGUAGGGUGCGAGCGUUGUCCGGAUUUAUUGGGCGUAAAGGGCUCGUAGGUGGUUGAUCGCGUCGGAAGUGUAAUCUUGGGGCUUAACCCUGAGCGUGCUUUCGAUACGGGUUGACUUGAGGAAGGUAGGGGAGAAUGGAAUUCCUGGUGGAGCGGUGGAAUGCGCAGAUAUCAGGAGGAACACCAGUGGCGAAGGCGGUUCUCUGGGCCUUUCCUGACGCUGAGGAGCGAAAGCGUGGGGAGCGAACAGGCUUAGAUACCCUGGUAGUCCACGCUGUAAACGGUGGGUACUAGGUGUGGGGUCCAUUCCACGGGUUCCGUGCCGUAGCUAACGCUUUAAGUACCCCGCCUGGGGAGUACGGCCGCAAGGCUAAAACUCAAAGGAAUUGACGGGGCCCCGCACAAGCGGCGGAGCAUGCGGAUUAAUUCGAUGCAACGCGUAGAACCUUACCUGGGUUUGACAUGGAUCGGGAGUGCUCAGAGAUGGGUGUGCCUCUUUUGGGGUCGGUUCACAGGUGGUGCAUGGCUGUCGUCAGCUCGUGUCGUGAGAUGUUGGGUUAAGUCCCGCAACGAGCGCAACCCUUGUUCACUGUUGCCAGCACGUUAUGGUGGGGACUCAGUGGAGACCGCCGGGGUCAACUCGGAGGAAGGUGGGGAUGACGUCAAGUCAUCAUGCCCCUUAUGUCCAGGGCUUCACGCAUGCUACAAUGGCUGGUACAGAGAGUGGCGAGCCUGUGAGGGUGAGCGAAUCUCGGAAAGCCGGUCUCAGUUCGGAUUGGGGUCUGCAACUCGACCUCAUGAAGUCGGAGUCGCUAGUAAUCGCAGAUCAGCAACGCUGCGGUGAAUACGUUCCCGGG
rnacentral:rRNA from 1 species